rnacentral:misc_RNA from 1 species
GGUGUCGUGAAGCGUAAGAGAAUAAUAUCAUGUGCAUCAACGUUAUGUCUGGUAUUUGGUGCUAUUAGUAAAUCUUGGUGGAAAUUUGUUUCUCUCAAUCUUGAAAUAGGGUUAUUGAGCAUCACAACUCAAGAAGGCACUUUUUAUAGAUCAAGCAUUUUAAAGUUUUAUAGUUUGGAUGAUCCAAGAGGUGUAGAAAAAGAUAUUAUUUUAAUUUUGAUUAUCAUUGGAGGAGGAUUCUCUCUGUUGUCUUUUUUUAUUGCCGUCUUUUUACCUUGUUUUGGAAAUGGACCAUGUUGGUUUUGUGGCUGCACAAUACUAUUCAUAACCACAUUAUUGGCCGGAGGAUGUAGUCUAGCAGCAUCUAUUUUUGCCGAAAUCAACUUUAAAUCGGAUUGGAAACAAUCAGAACACGGGUAUUCGGCCCAAUUAACAUGGGCUGGUUCAGUUUUGUGUGUAAUUACAUUUAUAAGUUCAUUUUUAAUACUUUGUCGAACACCAGAUGAUUAGUUUGACUCGUUUUUAUAUAAUUUUUUAUAAAUAUUAUACAGUUUUUUGUUUGUGUACAUAAAUAGAUUUGUUAAUUUUCAAAUUUUUAAACUGCUAUGUAUUUGUUUAUUUUUGUCGUUAUUCUAUGUGAAAUUA